rnacentral:rRNA from 1 species
GACAGAGGUGCCGAGCGUUAGGCGGAAUCACUGGGCUUAAAGCGUGUGUAGGCGGACCGUUAAGUGUCUUGUGAAAUCCCCCGGCUCAACCGGGGAAUUGCUGGGCAUACUGGCGGUCUUGAGCAGUCUAGGGGCAGAUGGAACAAGUGGUGGAGCGGUGAAAUGCGUAGAUAUCACUUGGAACGCCAAAGGUGAAGACAGUCUGCUGGGGACUUGCUGACGCUGAAACACGAAAGCCAGGGGAGCGAACGGG